rnacentral:lncRNA from 1 species
UAAUUUUACGAAAAUUGCGAUUCUUGAAACAAAUAAAGAUUUGCUUUUAAAAUUAAUCCGAAACCCAAUUAAUUAGAAUUCGAAUUAGAGAAUUUAUUAUUAUAUGCAUGUGAUGUAUAUGAGGUGAUGAUCAUGGAUACCGACCUUGUGAUGUGAAUGUAUCAUGUGAUGAUGUGAAUUGUUGUAAUUUAUUAAGGAUCCAAUAUUAGAUUAUAUUUUUUUUGGUACCUGCGCGUGCCAAUUAAAUUAUGUAAUUUGGAGACCUGCGUGUCUCAUUAAUUUUAUGGGUUGUAAAGUUAUUGUUGUAAAAUUAAUAAGGGAAAAGGGUAGUUUAGGUUCCAGAGGGAUUCGU